AUAAAAGGACCUAAUUUUUCAUCAGGUUUGUAAAUCUGGAACCUACAAACUGUACUUGUUUUAAGUGAUCCUUUACUCCAUGGGUAGCCUGUGAGUAAGGCUGCCAGAUUGCCUUGUAUCUCUGGGCAUUUCUGGGGAAUCUUCUUUUUUCUUAAUCCUCUUCGCAGGAAUUACAAGGCAGCAUGAUACACUUCUACUCACAUGAACUUUCUAAAAGACUUUAUCACCCACAAAUUUUGAGAUGCCCACCGCUAUAAAACUCUGGAAGCCAAGCAGAAGGUCAGAGUUUUUCCCAUGUGGAGCAAUUUCUGGACUGAUGCUUCUCCUGGCGUCCACAGCCCUUUCUGUGCAGCAGUUAAUGAACUGAGAUCCAAGAGAAGCGUGAGUUUGUGUUCUAAAUGGUGGCUCUGAUUAGCAUGCAAGAACAUUUAAAUGAAAAAUACUGAUGAAAGCAUACAUAUUUUCCACUGAAAGCUUCUUUAUUUUAUAUUCAUGCUUCAGAGAACAUAACUCUCACUAUGGAAUACUUGCAUAAUGUGAAUGCUGGAACGUGUGCAAAAUGUGAAUGCUGGAACAUUUCUAUCACAUCACGAGAUGCUGCUGAGCUCUGUCCACCCUCUAUGCUUGGGAGUGAUCUCUUGGAGCACUCUGGAUCUGUACACUGUGCAUUUCAUUUUCUGUGGUUUACUUUAGUUUUGUAGUAUUUGUUAAUCCUGUAGGCUUCAAGAAACCUUUGUUUUUCUGGGGUUUGGAUCCAGCCAGAACUCAUUGGUACACAUAGGUUUUGUGGGACUUGCACUGAUCUUAGUGAGAGAAGCACAAGCUGCAGAAGGGUCUGGUGACAGCAUGAAGACAUUAGUCUGUGAGCAUAUAAAAAUUUAUAAUCUACCUGCACUUUAAUCUCUUAAUGAAAAAAAUCCUACAUGUAUAGAAGUGGGGUGUUCACAAUGGCUAAUUUAUCAUUUUUUUUGGUCUGGAACUGUCCCUGUGCUUGGUAGCAAGAGAAGCUUGGGCAGAGGGUGUUUCAAAGCAGGAGAUAUUGCAUAAAGAAGUUAAGCCCUGAGGCCAAGGAUGGCCUUUAUAAAUACCCUUCACUAAAACAUUCAUAUUUGUACUCUAACAUGUGGUAUACAAACCUGAAUUCAUCUGCCUUAGGAGCUGAUAAGACGCCUUGUAAAAGCCAGAACUAUGGACCCAAUUAAAGUGUUUGUUUCUAAGAGAUGGUAUAUUAUAACCUCUUGGGAACAUCCAAGGGUCUGCCACAUAUUGCAUAAUUAAGGAAACACAAAAAUUAUCAAAUGAAAAGCCAUGCUAAGAGAAUGUCAUAAUUUUUGAAUGCUGUUACUUUUUUUAAAAUUAAAACUGUUGAACAAG